GAUUGAAUUGUCUCUUUUUCUUUUCAGUCGAUGAUGUUGAUGUUGUCUGUGUACCCAUGGGUCGACGAGUUGUCAGGUUUCUCUUUUGCUACCGAGUUGAACUGUUGCUGUUAGUGCUGCUUUGCAUCCACGAACACAAGUGUCCAGACUACAUCUGGGCCCCUCAUGAGGACUGGACCAAAAUAAGGCGGCCAUAUUGUGCGCAGAGUUUCUGAGAACCCCACAUUUGAUUAUGUUCGCGAACUAAUGUCAGCGGUGGAGAGGCUGGUGCAGGACGUCAGUGACGUGGAGCCAGAUGAAUUUGAGGCAAUACCGGGUGUGCCCGAGGCUGAGAG